rnacentral:rRNA from 1 species
UGGGGAAUAUUGCACAAUGGGCGCAGGCCUGAUGCAGCCAUGCCGCGUGUAUGAAGAAGGCCUUCGGGUUGUAAAGUACUUUCAGCGGGGAGGAAGGGAGUAAAGUUAAUACCUUUGCUCAUUGACGUUACCCGCAGAAGAAGCACCGGCUAACUCCGUGCCAGCAGCCGCGGUAAUACGGAGGGUGCAAGCGUUAAUCGGAAUUACUGGGCGUAAAGCGCACGCAGGCGGUUUGUUAAGUCAGAUGUGAAAUCCCCGGGCUCAACCUGGGAACUGCAUCUGAUACUGGCAAGCUUGAGUCUCGUAGAGGGGGGUAGAAUUCCAGGUGUAGCGGUGAAAUGCGUAGAGAUCUGGAGGAAUACCGGUGGCGAAGGCGGCCCCCUGGACGAAGACUGACGCUCAGGUGCGAAAGCGUGGGGAGCAAACA